rnacentral:rRNA from 1 species
AAUUUACUUGAUCUUGACACAAUCCUACUUGGAUAACUGUGGUAAUUCUAGAGCUAAUACAUGCAUUAAAGCUCUGACCUCACGGGAAGAGUGCAUUUAUUAGAACAAAACCAAGCGGCUUCGGCUGUUUCUGGUUGACUCAUAGUAACUGAGCUGAUCGCAUGGUCUUGCACCGGCGACGUGUCUUUCAAGUAUCUGCCGUAUCAACUUUCGAUGGUAGUGUAUCUGACUACCAUGGUGAUCACGCGUAACGGAGAAUAAGGGUUCGGCUCCGGAGAGUUCGCCUGAGAAAUCGCGAACACAUCUAAGGAAGGCAGCAGGCGCGAAAAUUACCCACUCUCAGCACGAGGAGGUAGUGACGAAAAAUAACGAGACCGUUCUCUUAUGAGGCCGGUCAUCGGAAUGGGUACAAUUUAAACCCUUUAACGAGUAUCUAUGAGAGGGCAAGUCUGGUGCCAGCAGCCGCGGUAAUUCCAGCUCUCAAAGUGCAUAGAAUUAUUGCUGCGGUUAAAAAGCUCGUAGUUGGAUCUGUGCCAUAGGACGUGGUCCACCUUCGGGUGCGUACUACGCUCCUAGGCUUUUUGCUGGUUUUCCCGUCGUAGCCUUCACUGGUUGCGGCGGGUGGCUGGCGAGUUUACUUUGAGAAAAUCAGAGUGCUCAAUACAGGCGUAUCGCUUGAAUGAUUGUGCAUGGAAUAAUAGAAAAGGAUUUCGGUCCUCUUUUAUUGGUUUUGUGGACUGAGAUAAUGGUUAACAGGGACAAACGGGGGCAUUCGUAUCUCUGCGUGAGAGGUGAAAUUCUUGGACCGUAGAGAGACGCCCUACUGCGAAAGCAUUUGCCAAGAAUGUCUUCAU